GAUGAACGCUGGCGGCGUGCCUAAUACAUGCAAGUCGAGCGAACGGACGAGAAGCUUGCUUCUCUGAUGUUAGCGGCGGACGGGUGAGUAACACGUGGAUAACCUACCUAUAAGACUGGGAUAACUUCGGGAAACCGGAGCUAAUACCGGAUAACAUUUUGAACCGCAUGGUUCAAAAGUGAAAGACGGUCUUGCUGUCACUUAUAGAUGGAUCCGCGCUGCAUUAGCUAGUUGGUAAGGUAACGGCUUACCAAGGCAACGAUGCAUAGCCGACCUGAGAGGGUGAUCGGCCACACUGGAACUGAGACACGGUCCAGACUCCUACGGGAGGCAGCAGUAGGGAAUCUUCCGCAAUGGGCGAAAGCCUGACGGAGCAACGCCGCGUGAGUGAUGAAGGUCUUCGGAUCGUAAAACUCUGUUAUUAGGGAAGAACAUAUGUGUAAGUAACUGUGCACAUCUUGACGGUACCUAAUCAGAAAGCCACGGCUAACUACGUGCCAGCAGCCGCGGUAAUACGUAGGUGGCAAGCGUUAUCCGGAAUUAUUGGGCGUAAAGCGCGCGUAGGCGGUUUUUUAAGUCUGAUGUGAAAGCCCACGGCUCAACCGUGGAGGGUCAUUGGAAACUGGAAAACUUGAGUGCAGAAGAGGAAAGUGGAAUUCCAUGUGUAGCGGUGAAAUGCGCAGAGAUAUGGAGGAACACCAGUGGCGAAGGCGACUUCCUGGUCUGUAACUGACGCUGAUGUGCGAAAGCGUGGGGAUCAAACAGGAUUAGAUACCCUGGUAGUCCACGCCGUAAACGAUGAGUGCUAAGUGUUAGGGGGUUUCCGCCCCUUAGUGCUGCAGCUAACGCAUUAAGCACUCCGCCUGGGGAGUACGACCGCAAGGUUGAAACUCAAAGGAAUUGACGGGGACCCGCACAAGCGGUGGAGCAUGUGGUUUAAUUCGAAGCAACGCGAAGAACCUUACCAAAUCUUGACAUCCUUUGACAACUCUAGAGAUAGAGCCUUCCCCUUCGGGGGACAAAGUGACAGGUGGUGCAUGGUUGUCGUCAGCUCGUGUCGUGAGAUGUUGGGUUAAGUCCCGCAACGAGCGCAACCCUUAAGCUUAGUUGCCAUCAUUAAGUUGGGCACUCUAAGUUGACUGCCGGUGACAAACCGGAGGAAGGUGGGGAUGACGUCAAAUCAUCAUGCCCCUUAUGAUUUGGGCUACACACGUGCUACAAUGGACAAUACAAAGGGCAGCGAAACCGCGAGGUCAAGCAAAUCCCAUAAAGUUGUUCUCAGUUCGGAUUGUAGUCUGCAACUCGACUACAUGAAGCUGGAAUCGCUAGUAAUCGUAGAUCAGCAUGCUACGGUGAAUACGUUCCCGGGUCU
rnacentral:rRNA from 1 species